UCGACGAAGCUAAGGAGGACGCCAUGAAGUUCAAGCACAUCGUGAUGCUCACCCUCGGUGCGGCCGCAGUCGCAGCGCUCCCCGCCAUGGCCCAGGCCGCUCCGCAGCAGACCGGGCAGGGCGCCACCGCGCAGAAGGCGGGCGACGCCAAGGCCAAGAGCGAAGCCGAGCGCAAGGCCGAACGCCGCGCCGCCGCUGCCGCGCAGAAGCCCAAGGGCGACGUGUCACCGCGUGAGGAAGAGGAAGAACAGACGCCGGCGCGCUGAUUUUUUCGCAUCGCUUGAGUGAUACGCAGACGCCCCGGCUCAGGCCGGGGCGUCUGCAUUUGCGGCCCGCGCAA
rnacentral:sRNA from 28 species